rnacentral:rRNA from 1 species
AUUGAACGCUGGCGGCAGGCCUAACACAUGCAAGUCGAGCGGAUGAAGGGAGCUUGCUCCUGGAUUCAGCGGCGGACGGGUGAGUAAUGCCUAGGAAUCUGCCUGGUUGUUGGGGAUAACGUCCGGACACGGGCGCUAAUACCGCAUACGUCCUGAGGGCGAACGUGGGGGAUCUUCGGACCUCACGCUAUCAGAUGAGCCUAUGUCGGAUUAGCUAGUUGGUGGGGUAAAGGCCUACCAAGGCGACGAUCCGUAACUGGUCUGAGAGGAUGAUCAGUCACACUGGAACUGAGACACGGUCCAGACUCCUACGGGAGGCAGCAGUGGGGAAUAUUGGACAAUGGGCGAAAGCCUGAUCCAGCCAUGCCGCGUGUGUGAAGAAGGUCUUCGGAUUGUAAAGCACUUUAAGUUGGGAGGAAGGGCAGUAAGUUAAUACCUUGCUGUUUUGACGUUACCAACAGAAUAAGCACCGGCUAACUUCGUG